rnacentral:rRNA from 1 species
CACGUAGGGCGCAAGCGUUGUUCGGAAUUACUGGGCGUAAAGGGCUCGUAGGCGGCCAACUAAGUCGGACGUGAAAUCCCUCGGCUUAACCGGGGAACUGCGUCCGAUACUGGAUGGCUUGAGUUCGGGAGAGGGAUGCGGAAUUCCAGGUGUAGCGGUGAAAUGCGUAGAUAUCUGGAGGAACACCGGUGGCGAAGGCGGCAUCCUGGACCGACACUGACGCUGAGGAGCGAAAGCCAGGGGAGCAAACGGG